rnacentral:lncRNA from 10 species
AGUCCCGUGGCAGGUGCUGGCACGCCAGGCCUGCGGACCUGAGACCUGUAGGAGAGGCCGGCCGCCCCAGAUCCGCACCUCCACCCCACACAUUGGUUUGGCUCCAUCUUCCCAGCCUCCCAAAGUUCCCGGUGGUGAUUGCAGAUCCUCCUGGAGCCAAUUCCGUUUUCUUUUCCCUGGAGUUUGAAACGCGGAUUUUGUUAUUGAGAGAAGUAGAAAAGUGAAAUUAAAAUCACCGAAGGCAGCAUUCCUGCUGCGGGCUUCGGCAGGCACUGCAUGCGACCAUAGCUGCAGUGCGGAGCAGCAUCUGACCCAGGAGACAGGAAGUCGGCCAGCGCCGGGGCGCCCGCGGAGCCCCACAUCGUGGCCCCACGGAACCUGGGUUCUCUGCCGGCUUUGGUGAGCUGCUUCCGGCAAGGAGACAGCAUCCCUUGGUGUCAAGGCCAAAGCCUCAUGACCUAACUUUGGGCUCUGUGUCCUUCUGGUUUUUAAAGCAGGACCUUUAAAAAAAGAAGAAGAAAGAAAAGAAAGGGUCUCGCUAUGUUGCAUAGGGUAGUCUCGAACUCCUGGGCACGAGCGAUCUUCGGGCCCUGCCUGAAGAGUAGCUGAGACUCCAGCCGCGAGCCACCACUAAAGCAGGGUCUUUAUAAAAGCAAAGACUUCACAAAAAAGGAAAAUAAUGGUUGCCAAGAGUCAAGCGGAGGUGCUGGAGGGAAGUGGAUGUGGCUGUGAAAGGGAAAGUCUGGAUUCUUGUGAAGGUGGAAAUGCGCAAUACCCUGACUCUGUCAGUAUCCUGG